rnacentral:rRNA from 1 species
UACGAACUGUGCAAACGUUAUUCGGAAUCACUGGGCUUAAAGGGUGCGUAGGCGGCUUAUCAAGUAGGGUGUGAAAGCCCCCGCUUAACCGGGGAAUUGCGCCCUAAACUGACGAGCUGGAGUGGGACAGGGGUGUGUGGAACUUCCGGUGGAGCGGUGAAAUGUGUUGAUAUCGGAAGGAACGCCGGUGGCGAAAGCGACACACUGGGUCUCAACUGACGCUGAGGCACGAAAGCCAGGGGAGCGAACGGG